rnacentral:rRNA from 1 species
GACGAACGCUGGCGGCGUGCUUAACACAUGCAAGUCGAACGGAAAGGCCCUGCUUUUGUGGGGUGCUCGAGUGGCGAACGGGUGUGUAACACGUGUGUAACCCGCCCCUGUCUUUGGGAUAACUUCAGGAAACUGGGGCUAAUACCGGAUAGGAGCUCCUGCUGCACGGUGGGGGAUGGAAAGUUUCGGCGGUUGGGGAUGGACUCGCGGCUUAUCGGCUUGUUGGUGGGGUAGUGGCUUACCAAGGUUUUGACGGCUAGCCGGCCUGGGAGGGUGACCGGCCUCCUUGGGCCUGAGGUAGGGCCCAGACUCCUACGGGAGGCAGCGGUGGGAAGUCUUGCACAAUGGGCGGACGCCUGAUGCAGCAGCGCCGCGUGCGGGAUACCGGCCUUCGGGUUGUAAACCGCUUUCUCCUGUGACGAAGCGUGAGUGACGGUAAUGGGUAAAGAAGCACCGGCUAACUACGUG